UAAAAUAAACAGAUAAUUUUGAAAAUGUGCUAUUUUGAUCCUUAAAAUAAUUUUGAACGAACAUUAUUGCUAUUAGUGGGACACACUUCGGAAUUUCUCUUUUUUUUAUUAAAAGUAAAACUCUGCCUGAUUAAAAAAAUUCUCGAAAUAAUUUUAUUUCUGCUAUCUUUCAUUUGACAGAUCUCAUAGGAGGAAUAUUGAGUGGUGCUAACACAUUCAUUACUGGCGCUGGCAGUUUCUUUGGAAAUAUUGGAACCAAUGCUCUUGGUGCCGUUACAAGUGGUGUCAGCGAUGCUAUUCAUGGUAGACGAGGGAAGCACGGAGUCGUUCACAGCAAGCAUGGUCGUAACUAAAAAAAUCAGAGUUCAAUAAGAAAUGGUUUUGUAACAGGCGAUGGAAUUUUCUGAAAGCAAGACUAUUAAAUAAUACCUUAUUAAAUAUGAAUAAACUUUUAAUAUUUGAACGAG